GAACUCGCCUUUCAGGGGAAACACCAUGCUCACAAAGGUGGUUUUCCCAGGGCAAGGUUUGUCCAUCACAUUAUGGAUAUGUUGACUCCUGUGAUUCCCCAAAUGUAAAAAAACUAGCUGCAUAAAUUAUGGCAGUAGGGGACCGUGUCUAAGAUUCCCCCCCC
ensembl:snRNA U1 U1 spliceosomal RNA